AUUGAACGCUGGCGGCAAGCCUAACACAUGCAAGUCGAACGAGUGGCGGACGGGUGAGUAAUGUCUGGGAAACUGCCUGAUGGAGGGGGAUAACUACUGGAAACGGUAGCUAAUACCGCAUAACAUCAGAUGUGCCCAGAUGGGAUUAGCUUGUAGGUGGGGUAAAGGCUCACCUAGGCGACGAUACCUAGCUGGUCUGAGAUGAUGACCAGCCAAACUGGAAAUGAGACACGGUCAAGACUCCUACGGGAGGCAGCAGUGGUGAAUAUUGCACAAUUGGCGCAAGCCUGAUGGAGCCAUGCCGCGUGUAUGAAGAAGGCCUUCGGUUUGUAAAGUACUUUCAGCGGGGAGGCGUUACCCGCAGAAGAAGCACCGGCUAACUCCGUGCCAGCAGCCGCGGUAAUAC
rnacentral:rRNA from 1 species